rnacentral:rRNA from 1 species
UACGUAGGGGGCGAGCGUUGUCCGGAAUUAUUGGGCGUAAAGGGUUCGCAGGCGGUCUGAUAAGUCAGAUGUGAAAGGCGUAGGCUUAACCAUAGUAAGCAUUUGAAACUGUCAGACUUGAGUAUUGGAGAGGCAAGUGGAAUUCCUAGUGUAGCGGUGAAGUGCGUAGAUAUUAGGAGGAACACCAGUGGCGAAGGCGGCUUUCUGGACUGUAACUGACACUGAGGCACGAAAGCGUGGGGAGCAAACA